rnacentral:rRNA from 1 species
UGAGGAAUAUUGGACAAUGGUCGGAAGACUGAUCCAGCCAUGCCGCGUGAAGGUUACGGUCCUAUGGAUUUUAAACUUCUUUUGUAUGGAAGCAAUAAGGUGCACGUGUGCAUCGAUGAGAGUACCAUACGAAUAAGCAUCGGCUAACUCCGUGCCAGCAGCCGCGGUAAUACGGAGGAUGCAAGCGUUAUCCGGAUUUAUUGGGUUUAAAGGGUGCGUAGGCGGAUUAAUAAGUCAGCGGUGAAACUCACAGGCUCAACCUGUGCCGUGCCGUUGAAACUGUUUAUCUUGAAUGCGGAUGCUGUGGGAGGAAUGUGUAGUGUAGCGGUGAAAUGCAUAGAUAUUACACAGAACACCGAUUGCGAAGGCAUCUCACAAAGCCGUGAUUGACGCUGAGGCACGAAAGUGUGGGGAUCAAACAGG